rnacentral:tRNA from 2 species
CGCGGGGUGGAGUAAAUGGCCAACUCGUCAGGCUCAUGACCUGAAGACUGCGGGUUCGAACCCUGCCCCCGCAC